UACAUAUAUAAGAUCAUGUGCCACGUCCAUUCAUCUGUUCAAAUUUAAACGCAACAUUUCUCAGGAUUGAAAUAGCUCAUCGCGGAAGAAAGAAAGAAAGAAAGAAUGGAUUCUAGAUUUGAAGAUGCACCUUCUGGGUCUGAAUCAUCUGGAAAUUAUGGGUGCAAGCAUUACAGAAGGGGGUGCAAGAUCAGAGCACCCUGUUGCGACGAGGUUUUUGAUUGCAGGCACUGCCACAAUGAAGCUAAGAACGCUUUGGAAAUUGAUCCCCUCUAUCGACAUAAUAUUCCUCGCCAUGAAGUUGAAAAGGUCAUAUGUUCCCUCUGCAGAACAGAACAAGAUGUUCAACAAAGUUGUAUACAAUGUGGAGCAUGCAUGGGAAAAUACUUCUGCCAGAAAUGCAAAUUUUUUGAUGAUGAUAUCUCAAAGAAACAGUACCACUGUGAUGAAUGUGGAAUAUGUAGAACUGGUGGCAAGGAGAACUUUUUCCACUGCAACAAGUGUGGAUGUUGUUAUUCUAAUUUGAUCAAGGAUGCACAUCACUGCAUUGAAAGAGCUAUGCAUCACAAUUGCCCGGUUUGCUUUGAGUUUCUGUUUGAUACAAUAAAUGAUAUCACUGUUCUACAAUGCGGACAUACAAUACAUUUGGAAUGCCUCAAGGAGAUGCAGUCUCACUACCAGUAUUCAUGCCCUAUUUGCUCAAAAUCCAUCUGUGAUAUGUCAGAGUGUUGGGAAAAACUUGAUGAAGAGGUUGCUUCAACUCCAAUGCCGGAAAUGUACAAGGACAAGAUGGUGUGGAUACUAUGCAAUGACUGUGGGGAAGUAUCUAAGGUGCAAUUCCACAUCUUGGGUCACAAAUGCUUGAGGUGCAAAUCUUAUAAUACAAGACAGAUACAAGGAGCACCUGCUUCUUCUGCAUGCCCUUCUGGAGUUGCAGAGAUGGUGACAUGAAUUCUAUUAGUGAAUUUUGAAGAAGAAGCAGCAAGCAGAGAAAUAUGAACAAAGUGAGAGGAUGACAAGUGGAGGGCUCAAUCUGAUCUUCUCAUCUUGACAUUAAGAGGGACUUGUUUGUAGGACUGCACCCUCCCGGCUGCUCUGCGCAACGGUCUUCCAAGAGAAGUUCUCUUUGAGCAGCAAGAUUUGUGUUCCAAGGGAGGAGCAAGAUCUUCCUGAGCACGAGCUAGACUGUCGUAUUGCCUCGCUAUAUCUUCAAAUUCAGAUACCCUCUUGGCUGGCUCUUGCUGCUGCAUUCUGGGGCUAGCAGAUUGCCUCCUCAAACAAUGCCUAUACAUAAUAGGAUUCAAGAUAAUCAAUAUAGGGAAAAUUAUCACCAGAAAGCUGGUUUUUUCUGUUGCAUUACUGUAUAUUAUCAAGAAAGCUGACCUUUUAUUUUCUGUGGAUCCCUUUUCUGCAGCUGGCUGGGAGGCAGCUGAACUUCCCAUUGCUGAAAAGAUUCUGGAAGUUAGUGACCAAAGUUGAAAUAGUUGAAAGUAAGCAUAUGUUUAUAUACACAUAUGAAUAUUGUCUGCAUGAAAUCUAGCAUUUACAUCUACUCUUUGAGGCUUGAAGCUUCCUGUUUAUUUUACUAGGAUUGAUAUCUGCAUUUGGUACAGAAUCCCCAACUCCUGUCUCCUUAUCCUACAUAAAAGAGCACAGAAAUAACAAUUACAAGAAAAUUUGUUGAUUGUA